rnacentral:rRNA from 1 species
AGAGUGAACGCUGGCGGUAGGCCUAACACAUGCAAGUCGAACGGCAGCACAGGAGAGCUUGCUCUCUGGGUGGCGAGUGGCGGACGGGUGAGGAAUACAUCGGAAUCUACCUUUUCGUGGGGGAUAACGUAGGGAAACUUACGCUAAUACCGCAUAAGACCUUCGGGUGAAAGCCGGGGACCUUCGGGCCUGGCGCGGAUAGAUGAGCCGAUGUCGGAUUAGCUUGUGGACGGGUAAAGCCCACAAGGCGACGAUCCGUAGCGUGGUCUGAGAGGAUGAUCAGCCACACUGGAACUGAGACACGGUCCAGACUCCGUACGGGAGCAGCAGGUGGGAAUAGUUGGACAAGUGGGCGCGAAGCCGUGAC